CGGCGGACGGGUGAGUAAUGCCUAGGAAUCUGCCUGGUAGUGGGGGACAACGUUUCGAAAGGAACGCUAAUACCGCAUACGUUCUACGGGAGAAAGCAGGGGACCUUCGGGCCUUGCGAUAUCAGAUGAGCCUAGGUCGGAUUAGCUAGUUGGUGAGGUAAUGGCUCACCAAGGCGACGAUCCGUAACUGGUCUGAGAGGAUGAUCAGUCACACUGGAACUGAGACACGGUCCAGACUCCUACGGGAGGCAGCAGGG
rnacentral:rRNA from 1 species